AACACCAACAAAUUACACAUACCAACUGCUGAAAGAGACCAGAGACAGAGAAGUCUGGGGACUGUUGACUACAGAGGUUUGAGAAUGAUCAUAACCAGGGACACAACUCAGCUUCCCGAUUCUGGGACUCUCAUUUCAGCCCCAAAUCUUCCCUGAGAGGAAAUCUGUGAGUCCUGCCCUCGGUCAGCUCUGCACCUCCACCCCCCCUCAACCUCAUGGCAGUAAAGCCUGAGGCCAACACAGUCCAGCAGAUGCCCUGCAGGGGAGAGGACUCGCCCAGCUUGCCAAGCCUGAGGCCCCUGUGCAGGAUCACCUGGCCUCUGGCAUGCUGCCAACGUCCCCCCACCAACCACUCAGGAGCUGGGAUGCAGAGCGGUCUCCCCGCUGGUUGUCAACAGGGGACCUGGUUGGGGGUGGGGGGCAGCCCAGGCUUGGCGCUGAUGAAACUGAAAAGGUUGAAUCAUUAAAUGUUUAGAGACUGCGAAGCUGGCAC
rnacentral:lncRNA from 1 species